GAGGAGGAGGAGGAGGAGGAGGAGGAGGAGGAGGCACAAAACACUCUCCUCCCUAUCGUGGCAAUCAGGUGAGGCGCAAACAGACUUCACCGAGGAAAGUUGACAGUUCGAACCCCGGCGGAAUGUAAAACACCUGCCGGGGAAGGUAAGCUGAGGGGAGGGAGAGUAGGUGAGGUGAGGGAAGGGAAAGGAAGGUGAGCUAAGGGAAGGGAGAGGAGGGAAAGGCUAGGUAAGGAUAGGAUAGGAUAGGUUAGGUUAGGUUAGGAAAGGUUAGGUAGGUAAGGUUAGGGAAAGGAAGGUGAGCUAAGGGAAGGGAGAGGAGGGAAAGGCUAGGUAAGGAUAGGAAAGGUUAGGUCAGGUUAAGUUAGGUAAGGUUAGGGAAGGUAAAGGAAGGUGAGCUAAGGGAAGGGAAAGGAAGGUUAGGAUAGAUUAGGUAAGGUUAGGGAAGGGAAAGGAAGGAAUGGCAGGGUAAGGAUAGGAUAAGAUAGGAAAGGAUAGGUUAGGUUAGGUAAGGUUAGGAAAGGUAAAGGAAGGUGAGCUAAGGGAAGGGAAAGGAAGGAAUGGCUAGGUAAGGAUAGGAUGAGAUAGGAAAGGAUAGGAUAGGUUAGGGAGGAGUGAAAGGGGGAAGAAAAGGAAAGGGAAGGGAAGGGACAGGAAGGGAAGGUAAGGUGAGGGAAGGGAAGGGAAGGUAGGGAGUGGGAAGGAAAAUUAAGGUAACGGAAGGUAAGAUGAAGUAAAGUAAGGGAAGGGAAGGUAAAAUCAAGUAAGAAAGGUAAGUUGGGGUAAGGUAGAUAAGGUAAGGGAAGUUAUGGGAAGGUGAGGGAAGGUUAGCUGAGAGAAGAUAAGUUGAGGAAAUGUAAGGUUAGGUAGGGAAUGGAGGAUAAGGUAAGGUAAGGGAAGGGAAGGGAAGUUAAGGAAAGGUUACAUAAGUUAAGGUUAGGAAAGGUAAGGUGAGGGAAAGGUAAAGUAACAUAAGGUAAGGUUAGAUAAGUUAAGGUUAGGAAAGGCAAGCUGAGGGAUGGAAAGGUAACAUUAGGUAUGGGAAGGGAAGGGAAGGAAAGUUAAGGAAAGGUUAGAUAAGGUUAGGAAAGGUAAGGUGAGGGAAAGGUAAAGUAACAUAAGGUAAGGUUAGAUAAGUUAAGGUUAGGAAAGGCAAGCUGAGGGAUGGAAAGGUAACGUUAGGUAUGGGAAGGGAAAGGAAGGGAAGGGAAAGGAAGGUAACGGAAGGGAAUGGAAAGGAGGGGAGAAGAAGGGGAAGAAGGAAAGGUAAGGGAAUGGAAAGGAGGGGAAAAGAAGGGAAAGAAGGAAAGGGAAGGGAAGAGCUGCGUAGGUUGGGUUAGGUUAGGUAAGAUAAGAUUAUUAAUAAUGUAAUGUGUCUAUUAUAAUGUACAUGUGUAUGUAUGACUGUACUUGUUGCGACACCCGGUCGGAGUCCCACAACAGGAUGUCUAACAACACGUCGUGCUUUUGGCCGUGGGAAGCUGUGAUGAACUGACACUAGGAUCAGCAAAUGAUGACUUUUAUCAGCCGUCAUCAACCGGGACCCACACCCUUCCGGACGAACUACAAGCAAAUAAAGCGGGCGAACAACGCGGAGAAGGGAGAGAAGACGGGUGACGGGCAGGCGAGCGGCUGAUGAAAGUCACCAUUUGCUGAUCCUAGUGUCAGUAAGGUAAGGUAAGACACUGUAAGGUAAAUUUAAGUAAGGUAAGGCAAGAUAAGGUAAGGUUACAUAUAGCAAGGUGAGGUGAGUUGAAUCAAGGCUGGUUAGUAAGCUAAGUAAGGUAAAGUGAUUCAAAAUAAGGUAAGGUAAGGUACGACAAAGUUACGUAAGGUAAGGUUGGGUAAGGUAAAAAGUAAUGCAAGGUAUGGUAAGGUAAGGAAAUGUAGCGUAAGGUAAGGCCAAGAUAGGUAAGGUAAUCAAAAGUGGAGCAUGGUAAGGUAAAGUAAGGUAAGGUAGUAUAAGGCAAGGUAAGCCAAAAUUAAGUAAGGUAAAAUAAGGUAAGGUAGUGUAAGGUAAGGUAAGGCAAAAUAAAGUAAGGUAAAAUAAGGUAAGGUAGUGUAAGGUAAGGUAAGGCAAAAUAAAGUAAGGUUAGGUAAGGUAGUGUAAGGUAAGGUAAGGCAAAAUAAAGUAAGGUAAAAUAAGGUAAGGUAGUGUAAGGUAAGGUAAGGCAAAAUAAAGUAAGGUUAGGUAAGGUAGUGUAAGGUACGGUAAGGCAAAAUAAAGUAAGGUAAAAUAAGGUAAGGUAGUGUAAGGUAAGGUAAGGCAAAAUAAAGUAAGGUAAGGUAAGGUAAGGUAAGGCAAAAUAAAGUAAGGUUAGGUAAGGUGAGGUUCGGGCAACACCUCAGAGAAUCGGAAAUCAUUCUCUCAUCCUUUCCUGUGGUGUGUGUGUGUGUGUGUG